GUUGUAGUCUGGAGAAGCGUUUUCCGCGUUGGACCGUGUACAAGUCUCUUGGAACAGAGCGUCAUAGAGGGUGAGAAUCCCGUCUUUGACACGGACUACCAAUGCUUUGUGAUGCGCUCUCAAAGAGUCGCGUUGUUUGGGAAUGCAGCGCAAAAUGGGAGGUGAAUUCCUUCUAAAGCUAAAUAUUGGCGAGAGACCGAUAGCGAACAAGUACCGUGAGGGAAAGAUGAAAAGCACUUUGGAAAGAGAGUUAAACAGUACGUGAAAUUGCUGAAAGGGAAACGCUUGAAGUCAGUCGCGUCGUCCGGAACUCAGCCUUGCUUCGGCUUGGUGCACUUUCCGGUUGACGGGCCAGCAUCGAUUUUGACCGCUGGAAAAGGGCUGGAGGAAUGUGGCACCUUCGGGUGUGUUAUAGCCUUCAGUCGCAUACAGCGGUUGGGAUCGAGGAACGCAGCACGCCUUAUGGCUGGGGUUCGCCCACAUUCGUGCUUAGGAUGCUGGCAUAAUGGCUUUAAACGACCCGUCUUGAAACACGGACCAAGGAGUCUAACAUGCCUGCGAGUGUUUGGGUGGAAAACCCGAGCGCGUAAUGAAAGUGAAAGUUGAGACCUCUGUCGUGGAGGGCAUCGACGCCCGGACCUGAAGUUUUCUGACGGAUCCGCGGUAGAGCAUGUAUGUUGGGACCCGAAAGAUGGUGAACUAUGCCUGAAUAGGGUGAAGCCAGAGGAAACUCUGGUG
rnacentral:rRNA from 1 species